rnacentral:rRNA from 1 species
GAUGAACGCUGACAGAAUGCUUAACACAUGCAAGUCAACUUGAAUUUGGGUUUUUAACUUAGGUUUGGGUGGCGGACGGGUGAGUAACGCGUAAAGAACUUGCCUCACAGCUAGGGACAACAUUUGUAAACGAAUGCUAAUACCUAAUAUUAUGAUAAUAGGGCAUCCUAUAAUUAUGAAAGCUAUAAGCGCUGUGAGAGAGCUUUGCGUCCCAUUAGCUAGUUGGAGAGGUAACGGCUCACCAAGGCGAUGAUGGGUAGCCGGCCUGAGAGGGUGAUCGGCCACAAGGGGACUGAGACACGGCACGUACUCCUACGGGAGGUAGCAGUGGGGAAUAUUGGACAAUGGACCGAGAGUCUGAUCCAGCAAUUCUGUGUGCACGAUGAAGUUUUUCGGAAUGUAAAGUGCUUUCAGUUGGGAAGAAACAAAAGACGGUACCAACAGAAGAAGUGACGGCUAAAUACGUG